GACGAACGCUGGCGGCGUGCUUAACACAUGCAAGUCGAACGAAGUGGCGAACGGGUGAGUAACGCGUAAUCAACCUGCCCUUCAGAGGGGGACAACAGUUGGAAACGACUGCUAAUACCGCAUACUGAAGGAGGGGAUUGCGUCUGAUUAGCUAGUUGGAGGGGUAACGGCCCACCAAGGCGAUGAUCAGUAGCCGGUCUGAGAGGAGGAACGGCCACAUUGGGACUGAGACACGGCCCAGACUCCUACGGGAGGCAGCAGUUGGGAAUCUUCCGCAAUGGACGAAAGUCUGACGGAGCAAAGCCGCGGGAGUGAUGACGGCGUUAGGUUUGUAAAGCUGUGUUAAUCGGGACGCGGUAGCGGAAUAGAAGGCCACGGGUAACUACGUGCCAGCAGCCGCGGUAAUUC
rnacentral:rRNA from 1 species